rnacentral:rRNA from 1 species
UUCAAUUGUAUAAUUAAAUUACUGAUUAGUAUUAGUUAAGUUCUUGAAAAUUAAAAAAUUUGGCGGUAUUUUAGUCAGUUCAGAGGAACCUGUCCUGUAAUUGAUAAUCCACGAUAAGUUUUACUUUUUCUUUUAGUUUGUAUAUCGUUGUUAUUGAAUUUCUUUUUAGGGUGAAUUUUCAUUUAUUUUUAUAUUAAUUGAUUUCAGAUCAAGGCGCAGUUUAUGAAAAAGUGGAGAUGGGUUACAAUGAAUUUAUUUAUGGUUAUUAGAUUUAAAUUUUUAAUAUAAAUUGGAUUUGACAGUAAUUAAUUUUAUUUUUCUUUAAUGAUUAUUGCUCUAAAGUAUGU